rnacentral:rRNA from 1 species
CCUACGGGGGGCAGCAGUAAGGAAUAUUGGUCAAUGGACGCAAGUCUGAACCAGCCAUGCCGCGUGGAGGAUGAAGGUCCUCUGGAUUGUAAACUUCUUUUAUUUGGGAAGAAACUCCCGAUUUCCAUCGGGAUUGACGUUACCAGAUGAAUAAGCACCGGCUAACUCCGUGCCAGCCGCCCCGGUAAUACGGAGGGUGCAGGCGUUAUCGGGAUUAACUGGUGUGAAGGGGGGCAGGUAAGGCAAGGUUGAAAUCUCCGGGCUUAACCCGGAAACUGCCAUUGAUACUAUUUGUCUUGAAUACUCUGGAGGGGAGCGGAAUAUGUCAUGUAGCGGUGAAAUGCUUAGAUAUGACAUAGAACACCCAUUGCGAAGGCAGCUCACUACGGAAAUAUUGACGCUGAGGCACGAAAGCGUGGGGAUCAAACAGGAUUAGAUACCCCUGUAGUC